rnacentral:rRNA from 1 species
AACGUAGGAGGCGAGCGUUAUCCGGAGUUACUGGGCGUAAAGCGCGCGCAGGCGGUCAUGUAAGUGAGCUGUGAAAGCUCCCGGCUAAACUGGGAGAGUGCGGCUGAGACUGCAUGACUAGAGUGAGGUAGAGGAGCGUGGAAUUCGGGGUGUAGCGGUGAAAUGUGUAGAGAUCCCGAGGAACACCAGAGGGGAAACCGGCGCUCUGGGCCUUAACUGACGCUGAGGCGCGAAAGCUUGGGGAGCGAACGGGAUUAGAAACCCCAGUAGUCC